CUGACUGUUAGAGAUCUUCACUCACAAGGAACACCUGCCAAGCGCUCAUCCUGCAGUGGGUCUUGGGACUACCUCAGUGAACAAAACAAAGAUCCCUCCCCUCGAGGAGUUGCCCGGGCUGUGGCUCCUGCCCUCCCUGUCGGUCGGGGGGUGGUGUUGCAUGGGCCAGAGCGACAGUGACAACAGCAGGAAAAACAGGAACAGUUUGGCUUUACAAUAGGGACCCGGCGGCUCAUCUGAAUAGACAUUUCACAAAGGAGUCUUUACAGACACUUGGGGCUGCUUGGAAGUUUUCCAGGAGGAUGGCAGGGAACAGCAGAGAACUGCCGAGAACAUCAAUUGAGACAGAAGCGCUUCAGGUGUGGCCCCUGGACCAGCAGCAUCCACCUCACCUGGGAACAUGUUGGAAAUGCAAGUUCUCCCCCUCCCCAGAUCUCCUAAAUCAGAUCCUCAGGGGCGAGGCCAGCACGCUGUGUUUGAACAAACCCUCGCACUGAUUCAGACGCAUGCUCUGCCACAGGCACAAGGUGACAGGUGUCAAGGGAACACAGAAAGACAGAGAGACGAAGGGGAGCUACUGGCAGUACCAACAGCCAAGACCUGGGGCCCUCUCCUCCUGCCUCCAGGAGGCCUGAUUUUCCCUUCCCUGCCUCCCUGCAGAAGUUCAAGGCUGUUCUUUAUGAAAGAACUUACAGGUGGCCUCAGGCCCCCUGUUGAAGGUCAUGGUAUCUUCCCUCUUGUCCUUUCCCAGUCCAGGAGCACUCGGCCGUGACCCCCGAGAGAUCCAUGCCCUGUCAUGCGCCUGCCUCUCAGCCUCUCCCCAGGCUAACUGCUGCAGUGCCAAGGAGGGCCCUGCCCUUUGCCUCUGUGCCCCCAUUGCCAGGGUUUCCUGUUCAGCUGUGAAGGGCUCCCUCGAUUGCUCCAGAGUCUGGAAUUUGGGAACACUUCAAGCAGAAAGUUUAUAAUUCACCUCCCAAUUCUUUCAGCCCUGUGAACUGCCUACUGCUUGAAAAACAAAAAACAUCAAGUGACUGCUGAUUAUGGACUAGAACAGAAAUCAUGCAAAUAUUCUUACUUUGGCUAAGUUAAAAUAGAUUCCAAGGCACAGGCUUUGGCAUGGCAGAAGCCAGGGCCCUCCAUCCAGAUUGGCUGUACCAGGUGACUUCCCUGAGCCCGCAGUUUUCUCACUGAAAAUAAUAAUAAUUGCUAUUACUGUUAUCAGCAUAAUAGCAGAAUUUGUAAGCCCUUUGUCCUUCCAGCCUCUCUCAGAGGUAGGGUGGGGCAGCAGUUCUCUCACUGCUCAUUAGAAUCCCCUGGGGAGGUUUUAAAAUGCAGAUUCCCAGGCUACACUGGGACCAAGAGAGCCCCAGGAUGGCCCAGCCGUCUGCAUUUCUUCAAGCCCUCCUCUGUCCUUGGGUGGGACUAUUGCCCACUGGCCUGUGUUUUCGUUCCUUGGAAAUGGCCCCUCAGUUUUUUUUAUGGGGACCCUACCCACUUCCCUCAGACACACGCACCUCAGGGUGUGACACAGGCCAGGUGGUCAGAGUCAACUCCAGGGGCUUGCAGGCCUUGGCCCUCACACUUGGGUUACAUAAACCACUGCAAAGAACUUAACCGAAGCCAACAUAUGGCAAAUUUUAAAACUAUUAACUUCAUUUAAGGAAAAUAAACAACAACAAUAGAGCCAGGUUGUCAUGAAUUGGAAGCAGAUGCGUGGGGCUCUUUGUAGACUGCCUGCUCCCAACAAGAUCAUCCCUCUUCCCUCCCCAUUCCCCUUCCCUGGUGCAAGCAGAGCUGCAUCCUUAAGGAGGCUGGGCUCAGCCUGCCAGAGGUGGAGAGCCUCUGGACUCAGGAACCUCCGCCUGCCUCAAUUUCCUCGUAAUCACAGAACAUCUGCUGCAUGGAGCCUGCCCUGCAUCCCUGGGGCCUGGCAGGGCCGUUAGUUACCAUCUCAUCUGGCAAUGUCACAAACAUCCUCAUUCUCACUGUUGCAGCUGGUGUGAAGGGCUUGGGGACCUGGUGAGGGCUGGGCUGGCACCCAGGCCCCCUCCUGCCCCUGCAGCCCCAGCCGCUUGGGUCUGAAGCUGCAACUCUGAGUGGUGACAUUUUGGCACCAGCCAGGGCCAAGAGCAGACACUUUGGUGACAGAGGAAAGGUUACGGCUCUGAUGUUGGCUUUUUGAAUUUUCUUUCUGGGCUCUCUUAGCUCUUGUCUGGUUUCUGGCUUUGGCGAUUGGUUCUUCAUGAGGUCUCUGGAGAUGGCUUCUCUUCCUUCCCAUGUGGCCUGUAAAAUAGGCCUGGGCAGCCUCUUCAUCCCAGCCCCUUCCCCUCCUUUCUCUUGAUGUUGCCAGUCCUUACCCCCCAGGAGAUGAGGCCUGCAGGUUGUGCGGGGUGGGCAGCCCCCGUGGUUGUGCAGCCUGCUGUGCUCAGACAGCCCAUGCUUAGUUUAAUGCUCUGCUGUCCUGUCUUCAAAAUCUUCAUACUUUGGGAGGAAGGGGGCAGGCAUUUUCACGUGGCCCCGGGCGUGCAAAUUCUGCAGCUGCCCUGAGAGAUGAAUCCAUAAGCGAGGAUAGAACGGGGGCGGCCCUAUUGACUGAGGAGGAAGAUUUCUUCUCCUCCCCUGGAGGGCAGAGGUCAGGGUGCACCACAGCCUGAUGAAGCCAUGCGAAGAUGACCAGGACUGCUUGGAGUAGGGUGUCAGCCUCGGGUCCCCAAAACCCACUCCCGCCCCCUCCGAGGACUGACUAGUCAGGAGCGCAGGGGCUCGGAUGGCCUUCAUGGGGAAGACAGGUCAAAUCCUCCUUCUUUCUCUUCAUUGAUCACUUUUCAAAAUCAUAAGUUGGUUCCCUGACAUCCUCCAGCAGUGACCGAUAGUGUCACUAUGAACUCCUAAAUGUAAACAUAUUGGAUGAGUUUUGAUCUAUUUCGGUGAAUCCAUGGCAACGUAUAGACCUAUUAUAUAUCCUCUUUCAAACAUAUAGAUAAAAUAACAAUUCAAAACUUAAAUACUGAUUGGAUAUUUCAUGAUAUUAAUAAUUUUUAAUAUUUUAGCUGUUAAUAGUAACAUGUGUGACCACCCUUAUUUGGCAGAUUUCUUAUUUUUUAGUGCCAUGUAUUGGAAUAUUUAUGGGUUAAAUAAAAACAAAAAACAAAACUGCAACACAUCUCCUGGGACCCCAGCCUCGGCCUCGGGAACCGGGUAUUCUUGUGAGAUGUUGGCCUUGGCACAGGGAGGCUGUAAGGUCCCUUCCUUGAAAC
rnacentral:lncRNA from 10 species